AUUGAACGCUGGCGGAAUGCUUUACACAUGCAAGUCGAACGGCAGCACGGGGGCAACCCUGGUGGCGAGUGGCGAACGGGUGAGUAAUACAUCGGAACGUGCCCAGUCGUGGGGGAUAACGUAGCGAAAGCUACGCUAAUACCGCAUACGAUCUCUGGAUGAAAGCGGGGGGACCGCAAGGCCUCGCGCGAUUGGAGCGGCCGAUGGCAGAUUAGGUAGUUGGUGGGGUAAAGGCUCACCAAGCCGACGAUCUGUAGCUGGUCUGAGAGGACGACCAGCCACACUGGGACUGAGACACGGCCCAGACUCCUACGGGAGGCAGCAGUGGGGAAUUUUGGACAAUGGGCGAAAGCCUGAUCCAGCCAUUCCGCGUGCAGGAUGAAGGCCCUCGGGUUGUAAACUGCUUUUGUACGGAACGAAACGGCUCUGGUUAAUACCUGGGGCUAAUGACGGUACCGUAAGAAUAAGCACCGGCUAACUACGUGCCAGCAGCCGCGGU
rnacentral:rRNA from 1 species